rnacentral:rRNA from 1 species
CCCGGCGAAAGCCGGAUUAAUACCGCAUACGAUCUACGGAUGAAAGCGGGGGACCUUCGGGCCUCGCGCUAUAGGGUUGGCCGAUGGCUGAUUAGCUAGUUGGUGGGGUAAAGGCCUACCAAGGCGACGAUCAGUAGCUGGUCUGAGAGGACGACCAGCCACACUGGGACUGAGACACGGCCCAGACUCCUACGGGAGGCAGCAGUGGGGAAUUUUGGACAAUGGGCGAAAGCCUGAUCCAGCAAUGCCGCGUGUGUGAAGAAGGCCUUCGGGUUGUAAAGCACUUUUGUCCGGAAAGAAAUCCUUGGCUCUAAUACAGUCGGGGGAUGACGUACCGAAGAUAGCUUA